rnacentral:rRNA from 1 species
CCUACGGGGGCAGCAGUAGGGAAUCUUCCACAAUGGGCGAAAGCCUGAUGGAGCAACGCCGCGUGGGUGAAGAAGGUCUUCGGAUCGUAAAACCCUGUUGUUAGAGAAGAAAGUGCGUGAGAGUAACUGUUCACGUUUCGACGGUAUCUAACCAGAAGGCAACGGCUAACUACGUGCCAGCAGCCGCGGUAAUACGGGGGUGGCAAGCGUGAUCCGGAUUGAUUGGGAGUAAAGGGAACGCAGGCGGUCUGUUAAGUCUGAUGUGAAAUCCUUCGGCUUAACCGGAGUAGGGCAUUGGAAACUGGGAGACGUGAGGGAAGAAGAGGAGAGUGGAACUCCAGGUGUAGCGAUGAAAUGCGUAGAUAUAUGGAAGAACACCAGUGGCGAAAGCGGCUCUCUGGUCUGUAACUGACGCUGAGGUUCGAAAGCGUGGGUAGCAAACAGGAUUAGAUACCCCAGUAGUC